GAGAAGUCAGUAGGCCUCCUAGCUGAAGGCUGACUCUGCCUGUAAAGGAGGUGACUAAUCCUGUCAAGCUUGUAUAUAGAUAGACACUGGUGAUGGGAUAACCUUAAGUAAAGACAUGGGUGUUGCACAACCCUGAAGCCUUUCUGAGCCUUAUUGGGAGCAGUAAGCAGGCCCCCCAAAAGAGAGGUAACUGGAGAAAGUACUUUGGAAAAUGGGAGUGCCUGCCUGAGAUCAAGGGAGCUGUGUCCGGACUUCUAAGCUGCUCUAGCUGAAGGGCUUUAAUAAGCGAGAUCUCUGGAUACAAAAGGGAUUUAUAUCUAGUCAGCAAAGAAAGCUAACAGGCAGUCCAAAAAAGUCAGAAGGGGACAUAGCUUUCAAGAGAUAGUAAGAAAAUGGUAUUGUAAUGUCCCCAAAUGUCUCAAACAAGAUACCAGACUGCUUAAGCAUCAAUCCUGAAAUACUGCGUGUACUUAGGGGCAGUGAUCAUGAGCCAGAGAAAGCAGAGACUUCCAUUUCAGGGCAUUCUUUAUGUACUCAUGACCUGAUCAUCUAAAUAAUGUUUCAUAUGACUGGUGCAAUCACUGACUAGGUCAGACACAGAAUCAGUGCUUGUCUGCUGUGUAUAAGGCAAGCACAGACCCAUGCUUUGACGAAUGCAUGAGGAAACAAAGGGCCUGAUUCUGAAA